UACGUAGGGGGCAAGCGUUGUCCGGAUUUAUUGGGCGUAAAGAGCGUGUAGGCGGCUAUGCAGGUCCGCUGUGAAAACUCGAGGCUCAACCUCGAGACGUCGGUGGAAACCGCAUGGCUAGAGUCCGGAAGAGGAGAGUGGAAUUCCUGGUGUAGCGGUGAAAUGCGCAGAUAUCAGGAAGAACACCCGUGGCGAAGGCGGCUCUCUGGGACGGUACUGACGCUGAGACGCGAAAGCGUGGGGAGCGAACAGG
rnacentral:rRNA from 1 species